AUUGAACGCUGGCGGCAGGCCUAACACAUGCAAGUCGAACGAGUGGCGGACGGGUGAGUAAUGUCUGGGAAACUGCCCGAUGGAGGGGGAUAACUACUGGAAACGGUAGCUAAUACCGCAUACCAUCGGAUGUGCCCAGAUGGGAUUAGCUAGUAGGUGGGGUAACGGCUCACCUCGGCGACGAUCCGUAGCUGGUCUAAGCGGAUGAACAGCAACACGGGAACUGAGACACGGCCAAGACUCCUACGGGAGGCAGCAGUGGGGAAUAUGGGACAAGGGGGGCAAGCAUGAUGAAGCCAGGCCGCUUGUAUGAAGAAGGCGUUCGGUUUGUAAAGUACUUUCAGCGAGGAGGCGGUACUCGAAGAAGAAGCACCGGCUAACUCCGUGCCAGCAGCCGCGGUAAUUC
rnacentral:rRNA from 1 species